AUAGAGCAACAGCUUCUAUGCAGUUUCUUGUUAGCCCCGGUAAUCUUCUCUUAGUCGCCAAACCUGGUGAAGAUUAUCGGGGUUUUUGCUU
rnacentral:antisense_RNA from 13 species